rnacentral:rRNA from 1 species
UACGUAGGGAGCAAGCGUUGUCCGGAAUCAUUGGGCGUAAAGCGCGCGUAGGUGGCCUCAUAAGUCCGCUGUGAAAGUCAAAGGCUCAACCUUUGAAAGCCGGUGGAUACUGUGGGGCUAGAGUACGGAAGAGGCGAGUGGAAUUCCUGGUGUAGCGGUGGAAUGCGCAGAUAUCAGGAGGAACACCAGUGGCGAAGGCGGCUACCUGGCCUAAUACUGACACUGAGGCACGAAAGCGUGGGGAGCAAACAGG